rnacentral:rRNA from 1 species
CACAUGCAAGUCGAGCGGUAGCACAGGGAGCUUGCUCCUGGGUGACGAGCGGCGGACGGGUGAGUAAUGUCUGGGAAACUGCCCGAUGGAGGGGGAUAACUACUGGAAACGGUAGCUAAUACCGCAUAACGUCUUCGGACCAAAGUGGGGGACCUUCGGGCCUCACACCAUCGGAUGUGCCCAGAUGGGAUUAGCUAGUAGGUGAGGUAAUGGCUCACCUAGGCGACGAUCCCUAGCUGGUCUGAGAGGAUGACCAGCCACACUGGAACUGAGACACGGUCCAGACUCCUACGGGAGGCAGCAGUGGGGAAUAUUGCACAAUGGGCGCAAGCCUGAUGCAGCCAUGCCGCGUGUGUGAAGAAGGCCUUCGGGUUGUAAAGCACUUUCAGCGAGGAGGAAGGGUUCAGUGUUAAUAGCACUGAACAUUGACGUUACUCGCAGAAGAAGCACCGGCUAACUCCGUGCCAGCAGCCGCGGUAAUACGGAGGGUGCAAGCGUUAAUCGGAAUUACUGGGCGUAAAGCGCACGCAGGCGGUUUGUUAAGUCAGAUGUGAAAUCCCCGAGCUUAACUUGGGAACUGCAUUUGAAACUGGCAAGCUAGAGUCUUGUAGAGGGGGGUAGAAUUCCAGGUGUAGCGGUGAAAUGCGUAGAGAUCUGGAGGAAUACCGGUGGCGAAGGCGGCCCCCUGGACAAAGACUGACGCUCAGGUGCGAAAGCGUGGGGAGCAAACAGGAUUAGAUACCC